rnacentral:rRNA from 1 species
AUUGAACGCUGGCGGCAGGCCUAACACAUGCAAGUCGAACGGUAACAGGAAACAGCUUGCUGUUUCGCUGACGAGUGGCGGACGGGUGAGUAAUGUCUGGGAAACUGCCUGAUGGAGGGGGAUAACUACUGGAAACGGUAGCUAAUACCGCAUAACGUCGCAAGACCAAAGAGGGGGACCCUCGGGCCUCUUGCCAUCGGAUGUGCCCAGGUGGGAAUAGCUUGUUGGUGGGGUAACGGCUCACCAAGGCGACGAGCCCUAGCUGGUCUGAGAGGAUGACCAGCCACACUGGAACUGAGACACGGACCAGACUCCUACGGGAGGCAGCAGUGGGGAAUAUUGCACAAUGGGCGCAAGCCUGAUGCAGCCAUGCCGCGUGUAUGAAGAAGGCCUUCGGGUUGUAAAGUACUUUCAGCGGGGAGAAAGGGAGUAAAGUUAAUACCUUUGCUCAUUGACGUUACCCGCAGAAGAAGCACCGGCUAACUCCGUG